GGAAUUCUCUGUCUAACUGUGGA
rnacentral:piRNA from 1 species